AACGGCCAUACCAUGCUGAAUAUACCGCUUCUCGUUAGAUCACCGAAGUCAAUCAUUGGGCGCGGUCAGUACUUGGGUGGGUGACCACCU
rnacentral:rRNA from 1 species